AGAGUUUGAUCCUGGCUCAGGAUGAACGCUGGCGGCGUGCUUAACACAUGCAAGUCACGGGGGCCCAGCAAUGGGCAACCGGCGAACGGGUGCGUAACACGUGAGCAACCUACCGAAAUGAGGGGGAUAGCCGGCCCAACGGCCGGGUAAUACCGCAUAAGCUCAAGUCGAGGCAUUUCGAUUUGAGGAAACCUCCGGGGCGUUUCGAGGGGCUCGCGGCCUAUCAGCUAGUUGGUGAGGUAACGGCUCACCAAGGCAACGACGGGUAGCUGGUCUGAGAGGAUGGCCAGCCACAUUGGGACUGAGAUACGGCCCAGACUCCUACGGGAGGCAGCAGUGGGGAAUCUUGCGCAAUGGCCUAACGGCUGACGCAGCGACGCCGCGUGAGGGAUGACGCUCUUCGGAGUGUAAACCUCUUUUGUCUGAGACGAAUUGUCAGCUUCAGCUGAUUUGACGGUAUCGGGCGAAUAAGCACCGGCUAACUCCGUGCCAGCAGCCGCGGUAAUACGGGGGGUGCGAGCGUUGUCCGGAAUCACUGGGCGUAAAGGGCGCGUCGGUGGCCUGAUAAGGGUGUGGUGAAAGUCCGGGGCUCAACCCGGGAUCUGCCGUGCCGACUGUCAGGCUGGAGUACUGUAGAGGCAGGCGGAAUCCCUGGUGUACCGGUGAAAUGCGUAGAGAAUUCGGAGGAAGACCGGGUGGCCAAAGGCCGGUCUGCUGGGGCAGUUUACCUGAACACCUGANGGCCCGACAGCCGGUGGGGGANCCAACCGGGGAAUUAAAUUUCCCNUGNUAUUUCA
rnacentral:rRNA from 1 species